rnacentral:rRNA from 1 species
GAGACUCUGUGCGCGUGCAUAUCAAUAAGCGGAGGAAAAGAAACUAACAAGGAUUCCCCUAGUAACGGCGAGUGAAGCGGGAAGAGCUCAAAUUUGAAAUCUUAAAGGGUUUCCCUUUACGAAUUGUAGUUUAAAGAAGUGUUUUCUGUUGAGGUUUUGGUAAAAGUUCUUUGGAAUAGGACAUCAUAGAGGGUGAGAAUCCCGUAUUUGACCUUUACUUUCAACUUUGUGAUACACUUUCAAAGAGUCGGAUUGUUUGGGAAUGCAGUCCAAAAUGGGUGGUAAAUUUCAUCUAAAGCUAAAUAUUGGCGAGAGACCGAUAGCGAACAAGUACCGUGAGGGAAAGAUGAAAAGAACUUUGAAAAGAGAGUUAAACAGUACGUGAAAUUGUCAAAAGGGAAGCGUUUGACACCAGUGUUGUUUUUCUGAAAAUCAAUUAAAGAACUGUUUAUGCUAAGCUGUUUAGACUUUAUCAGCUAUCUGUUUAGUUUGAGCUUUUCUUUAAUGCACUUUUCAGUUAACAAGUCAACAUCAAUUUCUUUUGCUGUAAAAAGCUUGAGGAAGGUGGCUUGAGAUUCGUCUUAAGUGUUUAUAGCCUCUUGCCUAUGCAGUCGGAGAGAUUGAGGUCUGCAGCGUAGAUCCUUCGGGGCUAAAUGCAUUUGUGCUAAGUUAUAGCAUUUUAUAGACAACUUGUUGACUAUGAUUUGUCUUGUAGCUUACUCGCUUAUGUUAUUUUACCUACGCUUAGGAUGUUGAAGAUGUAGCACAUCAU